rnacentral:rRNA from 1 species
CAGUAGCCGCGGUAAUACGGAGGGCGCGAGCGUUACCCGGAUUUACUGGGCGUAAAGGGCGUGUAGGCGGCCUGGGGCGUCCCAUGUGAAAGGCCACGGCUCAACCGUGGAGGAGCGUGGGAUACGCUCAGGCUAGAGGGUGGGAGAGGGGGGUGGAAUUCCCGGAGUAGCGGUGAAAUGCGCAGAUACCGGGAGGAACGCCGAUGGCGAAGGCAGCCACCUGGUCCACUUCUGACGCUGAGGCGCGAAAGCGUGGGGAGCAAACCGGAUUAGAGACCCCAGUAGUCCCUGUCUCUUAUAC